rnacentral:rRNA from 1 species
GACGGAGGAUGCAAGCGUUAUCCGGAAUGAUUGGGCGUAAAGCGUCCGCAGGUGGCAGUUCAAGUCUGCUGUCAAAGACCGGGGCUUAACUUCGGAAAGGCAGUGGAAACUGAACAGCUAGAGUAUGGUAGGGGCAGAGGGAAUUCCUGGUGUAGCGGUGAAAUGCGUAGAUAUCAAGAGGAACACCUGAGGUGAAGACGGGUUGCUGGGCUGAUACUGACGCUGAGGCGCGAAAGCUAGGGUAGCAAACGGG